AGUUGUAAUCUAUAGAGUCGUUUUCCGUGCCGGACUGUGUCCAAGUCCCUUGAACAGGUAUCAAAGAGGGUGAUAAUCCCGUACUUGACACAAUGACCGGUGCUCUGUGAUACGUCUUCUACGAGUCGAGUUGUUUGGGAAUGCAGCUCAAAAUGGGUGGUGAGUUCCAUCUAAAGCUAAAUAUUGGCGAGAGACCGAUAGCGAACAAGUACCGUGAGGGAAAGAUGAAAAGCACUUUGGAAAGAGAGUUAAACAGUACGUGAAAUUGUUAAAAGGGAAACGAUUGAAGUCAGUCGUGACUGAGAGGCUCAGCCGGUUCUGCCGGUGUAUUCCCCUCAGUCGGGUCAACAUCAGUUUUGUUCGGUGGAUAAGGGCAGUUGGAAGGUGGCACCCUCGGGUGUGUUAUAGCCAGCUGUCGCAUACAUCGGAUGAGACUGAGGAAUGCAGCUCGCCUUUAUGGCCGGGGUUCGCCCACGUUCGAGCUUAGGAUGGGACAAGUGU
rnacentral:rRNA from 1 species